UGCGUAGGGCGCAAGCGUUGUCCGGAAUUAUUGGGCGUAAAGAGCUCGUAGGCGGUUUGUCGCGUCUGCUGUGAAAACCUAAGGCUCAACCUUGGGCUUGCAGUGGGUACGGGCAGACUAGAGUGCGGUAGGGGUGACUGGAAUUCCUGGUGUAGCGGUGGAAUGCGCAGAUAUCAGGAGGAACACCCGUGGCGAAGGCGGCACUCUGGGACGGUACUGACGCUGAGACGCGAAAGCGUGGGGAGCGAACAGG
rnacentral:rRNA from 1 species